rnacentral:antisense_RNA from 1 species
CUUGAGGGAGCCGAGCCACAACGGCCGGUCGUCGGGACGGUUCUGGCCGUACGUGGCCAGGAGCGCCUGGGCCUC